AACGAACGCUGGCGGCAUGCCUAACACAUGCAAGUCGAACGAGACCUUCGGGUCUAGUGGCGCACGGGUGCGUAACGCGUGGGAACCUGCCCUUAGGUUCGGAAUAACUCCCCGAAAGGGGUGCUAAUACCGGAUAAUGUCUUCGGACCAAAGAUUUAUCGCCUUUGGAUGGGCCCGCGUUGGCUUAGCCAGUUGGUAGGGUAAAAGCCUACCAAGGCGACGAUCCAUAGCUGGUCUGAGAGGAUGAUCAGCCACACUGGGACUGAGACACGGCCCAGACUCCUACGGGAGGCAGCAGUGGGGAAUAUUGGACAAUGGGCGAAAGCCUGAUCCAGCAAUGCCGCGUGAGUGAUGAAGGCCUUAGGGUUGUAAAGCUCUUUUACCCGGGAUGAUAAUGACAGUACCGGGAGAAUAAGCUCCGGCUAACUCCGUG
rnacentral:rRNA from 1 species